rnacentral:rRNA from 1 species
UACGGAGGGUGCAAGCGUUAUCCGGAUUCACUGGGUUUAAAGGGUGCGUAGGUGGGUUUGUAAGUCAGUGGUGAAAUCUCCAAGCUUAACUUGGAACUGCCGUUGAUACUAUAAAUCUUGAAUGUUGUGGAGGUGAGCGGAAUAUGUCAUGUAGCGGUGAAAUGCUUAGAUGAUGAACAUAGAACACCAAUUGCGAAGGCAGC